GAGUUUGAUCAUGGCUCAGGACGAACGCUGGCGGCGUGCCUAAUACAUGCAAGUAGAACGCUGAAGAGAGGAGCUUGCUCUUCUUGGAUGAGUUGCGAACGGGUGAGUAACGCGUAGGUAACCUGCCUUGUAGCGGGGGAUAACUAUUGGAAACGAUAGCUAAUACCGCAUAACAAUGGAUGACACAUGUCAUUUAUUUGAAAGGGGCAAUUGCUCCACUACAAGAUGGACCUGCGUUGUAUUAGCUAGUAGGUGAGGUAACGGCUCACCUAGGCGACGAUACAUAGCCGACCUGAGAGGGUGAUCGGCCACACUGGGACUGAGACACGGCCCAGACUCCUACGGGAGGCAGCAGUAGGGAAUCUUCGGCAAUGGGGGCAACCCUGACCGAGCAACGCCGCGUGAGUGAAGAAGGUUUUCGGAUCGUAAAGCUCUGUUGUAAGUCAAGAACGAGUGUGAGAGUGGAAAGUUCACACUGUGACGGUAGCUUACCAGAAAGGGACGGCUAACUACGUGCCAGCAGCCGCGGUAAUACGUAGGUCCCGAGCGUUGUCCGGAUUUAUUGGGCGUAAAGCGAGCGCAGGCGGUUUGAUAAGUCUGAAGUUAAAGGCUGUGGCUCAACCAUAGUUCGCUUUGGAAACUGUCAAACUUGAGUGCAGAAGGGGAGAGUGGAAUUCCAUGUGUAGCGGUGAAAUGCGUAGAUAUAUGGAGGAACACCGGUGGCGAAAGCGGCUCUCUGGUCUGUAACUGACGCUGAGGCUCGAAAGCGUGGGGAGCGAACAGGAUUAGAUACCCUGGUAGUCCACGCCGUAAACGAUGAGUGCUAGGUGUUGGAUCCUUUCCGGGAUUCAGUGCCGCAGCUAACGCAUUAAGCACUCCGCCUGGGGAGUACGACCGCAAGGUUGAAACUCAAAGGAAUUGACGGGGGCCCGCACAAGCGGUGGAGCAUGUGGUUUAAUUCGAAGCAACGCGAAGAACCUUACCAGGUCUUGACAUCCCGAUGCUAUUUCUAGAGAUAGAAAGUUACUUCGGUACAUCGGUGACAGGUGGUGCAUGGUUGUCGUCAGCUCGUGUCGUGAGAUGUUGGGUUAAGUCCCGCAACGAGCGCAACCCCUAUUGUUAGUUGCCAUCAUUCAGUUGGGCACUCUAGCGAGACUGCCGGUAAUAAACCGGAGGAAGGUGGGGAUGACGUCAAAUCAUCAUGCCCCUUAUGACCUGGGCUACACACGUGCUACAAUGGUUGGUACAACGAGUUGCGAGUCGGUGACGGCAAGCUAAUCUCUUAAAGCCAAUCUCAGUUCGGAUUGUAGGCUGCAACUCGCCUACAUGAAGUCGGAAUCGCUAGUAAUCGCGGAUCAGCACGCCGCGGUGAAUACGUUCCCGGGCCUUGCACACACCGCCCGUC
rnacentral:rRNA from 1 species